CCACGAUCGCCUUCUCGGUUUAUGCAACCAUCGGUUGCGAUCCCUAUUUUGGUGAACGAUACAAAGCACCGACAGCUUCACACGGCCGACGCAGGAAAAGGAGGGCAGAUAAAUCCUAGGAACUGAUCAAGGAAGCAGAUUGUCCAGGCGUGCAGGCAUUUAGUAGACUCAUAACUCAUCUUUGUCAAUUGCUUUAGGGGGUUGGAAAUGGAAACGGUAAGUUGCAUGGUUUUGAUGUUUGAAAAGAAUUGUAUACAGCACCCUGCUUUGCUCAGAGCAAACUUCUAAUAGGAAGAGGCUGGAAUAAACCACAAAGUUACCGAUCAAAGCAAGAUAGAAAAUGGGUAUGCAUUUUUUACUUGGAGGCGUAUCUGGGCUUUGAUUUGGUGUAAAAGAAGACGAAAGAAAGAAAACGUUUCUCAACUAUACCAUGCUGCUGACGACUUAAAUCGGAGUGCACUGUUUGGGUUAGAUAAUGAAAGUGAUGACUCCAAUGCUCUGUCCUGCUAGUAAAGGUAAAGGUACCCCUGCCCGUACGGGCCAGUCUUGCCAGACUCUAGGGUUGUGCGCUCAUCUCACUCUAAAGGCCGGGAGCCAGCGCUGUCCGAAGACACUUCCGGGUCACGUGGCCAGCGUGACAAGCUGCAUCUGGCGAGCCAGCACAGCACACGGAACGCCGUUUACCUUCCUGCUGGUAAGCGGUCCCUAUUUAUCUAUUUGCACCCGAGGGUGCUUUCGAACUGCUAGGUUGGCAGGCUCUGGGACCGAACGACGGGAGCGCACCCCGCCGUGGGGAUUCGAACCACCGACCUUUCGAUUGGCAAGUCCUAGGUGCUGAGGCUUUAACCCACAGCGCCACCCGCGUCCUGCUAGUACUGCACCUUAAAUUCUUCACGGACUUCCCUCCUUAGUAAAAUGUAAUUAAAAUGAAAUAUUUUCAGUUCAUCUUUAAGGCUUUAUACGUCAAAACCAGCACUUUGAAUUGGGUCCAGCAGCCAGUGCAACUGGGCCAGGAUUGGUGUUAUAGGCUCAAACCGUCUUGCCCCAACCUGGCCACUGAGUUCUGCACCAGCUGAAGUUUCCAAACCAUCUUCAGAGGCAGCCCUGCGUACAACACAUUGCAGUACCUGGCUGCCUCCUCCUCUGAGCUCAAGGCCAUGACAGACAUAUGCAUUCCAGUCCACAUCCAUUUAAAGACACACAGACAAACCAGAUCCCAGCAUAUCGUCUCUUUUCCAUCUCCUUGGUAACCACACAUCUAGAUAAUACACUUUACUAAGCAUCCUUGUAAAGUUAAGGGAGGGAAGCAUAAACUGUGUUCUUGGACUACAACUCCCAUAAACCCUGACCAUUGCCCAUGCUGGCUGUGGUCCAGCAACAUGCCCCAUCCCUGACUCCAAACAAUGGUGGAUUUCUAAUUUGCUGAUUUCACCUCUGUUACAAGAUCCACCAAUUUGGAACUGCAAAAUCUGGAGAGAAAUUUGGAGAAUUUCAGGAGUAUUUCUCUACCUGCUGACUGGGUGAAGGUCAAAGUGCAAGCCUUCCUCAGCUUCUUGCUACAUUGCUGACAAUGGUUUCUUGGAGAUAUACAGUGUGGAGCUCCGGCUUGAAAGUUCAUAUUUGAAUCUAGCUCACGAACCAGGUAAUUCGGGAACCACCUUUGAGAUAUUCUUCAAGUGGAAGAUUUUCUUUUCCCCCUCUUAAGGUACCCAUUAUGAGUGCAGGCAUACACAAACACAUAUAUCAAUGAGUAAAUCCAAGCAUAUGGCAACUUGUUCUCUUUUGCUCUACCGUUCACUUGACAUGUUAAUGCUUAAUAGGAACCUCUCCUGUUAAAUAUUCAUUGGCCAAACUAUCAGUGGGUAAAGCAUCACAGUUUGAUUUAAUUUUCCUGACACCGUUCAUUCACAGCAAAAUGAACUGUUUCGAGAGAAUGAAAAUUGCAUUUGCUGAAGGCGUUGCAAUUGAAUUACUUAUUCUGAGGUCCGCACCACAGCCUGUUCAUAAGGGCCAGUUAAUAUUCCAGUCCCCAAGUGGUGUAGCCAUGGACAUUUCAAAGGGAAACCUGUUUUGUCGUUUCGAAAAUUCAGGCUUUUAGUGGAGAGUACCAGAUGUGAGCAAACCUGGCAUAUUUAUCUUCUGCUUUUUCAUGUUUUUGGUGAGCGUUUGUGAAAGGAAGGCAUACCGUUUGUUAUACACCACUGAUUAAAAGUAAGAGGUGAAGGUCAGGAAGGUAUCACAGGUUUAAUCUAGGUGAAGGAAGAUGAUAUGGGUGCUGUGAGUCAUCAGACUCAACAUGAAGUCAGUCAUGUCACUAGAACACCUAUGAUAUAAAUAAGAUAAAAUAAAUUGUAGUGAAUUAGCCUGAGACAUGUGGCACUGAAGGUAGGGGGGCUUUAACCCUUUGUCCCAUCAUGGUUCUGAUCCAGAACACGGCCCCAGUGCUGUUUGCCCCAGGAGGAAGCUCUACUCCCUGGAAUUAGAUUGUGAAGGGGCAAAGAGUUAAACGUGCCCCCCCCCCGGUCCAUCACAACAAUCCCUAUCUGCUUCAUCUCACUUUCUCCAGCAGCUGCUGCUUAUUAAAACCAAAUCACGGAUGGGUUAGUGACAUGAUUGAUGCCAUGAGCAGUAUGAUGUAGAAAUAAACAUAGCUUUGGGGAAAGUGCCUUCCAUCUUUCCAGGAUGGAAGGCAAAGGCAGCUUAUUGACUGGAAUCCAAUGGCACUGCCCUCUGAAAUCCCUAGAGCCAUUUCUUCGCAACUAGUUUUUGUGGCUGUUUUUGUAAGUCAAAGGGGUAGGUGUGUGAGAUAUUGAUACAAGAGAGCAAGAGAGAUUUCUUAGUCAAAAUGAAUAUCUCACAAGUAAGAGCGUCUGUCAUGUUGUAUUUUGGACGGAAGCAAGGACAGCUUCCCUGUAUUGUUCGGAUUCCAACUCCCACCAGUCCUGGUCAACCUGGUCAAGGAUCAGGAAAGAUGGGAGUUGUAUUUCAACAACUUGUGUGGUUGCCAUACUGGUGACCCCUUGUGUAGAUAAUACUGAGCUAUAUGAACCUAUGGUCAGACUGGGAACAAGAUGGAUUCCAAUGUGCUCGCCCCCCACCUGGUGAACACACAAACACACAAAACUUUAAAAUCUCUCCUCCCCCUUUUAAAAAGUGGUGUCCUGCAAAAUGCACAAGCUUAGUCAUCUACAUUGACUGCCAUGGUCCUGGUCUGUGGAGCAAAGGAACAGAGAAAACAUCUUGAAGAUAACCUUUGAUGAGAGAAAGCGGUUCAGCUAGAAUCCCUCUUUUUGAACCCAGGCUUGAAACAAAGGGUAGAAGGCUGUCCUUUGAUAGCCCUUCAAUAAAGGAGUAUAAAUUAGGGCAAAUUUGCCCCCUGCCUCCCCAAAGAACAAAGAUGUGUGAAUGGGGCAGAUAUGUGAAAAGAACCACGUGAUUUUUGCCACCAACAUCAAAUCCCAUUAGACUCCUGCUCUGAUGCUGAAAAUUAUAAUUUUUGACACCUAAUACAGAGAAAGGAAGUCUCGGUGGCUCUCAUAUUUGAAAAGUAUAUGCAGUGAUGAAACAACAUUUGUGGGCUUACAAGAAGCUCUAUGAAGAUCAGGAAUAUUGUAAUCAGGAAUAUUGUAAAAAAGGGAAAGGAGGGAGGAGAGGUAAUUAGUAUAAGGCAAUAUAAAAUUAGGAAAUGCGUAAGAAAUAACCAAUAUGGAGGAUUCAUAGAAUCAUAGAGUUGGAAGAGACCACAAGGGCCAUCGAGUCCAACCCCCUGCCAAGCAGGAAACACCAUCAGAGCACUCCUGACAUAUGGUUGUCAAGCCUCUGCUUAAAGACCUCCAAAGAAGGAGACUCCACCACACUCCUUGGCAGCAAAUUCCACUGUCGAACAGCUCUUACUGUCAGGAAGUUCUUCCUAAUGUUUAGGUGGAAUCUUCUUCUGUAGUUUGGAUCCAUUGCUCCGUGUCCGCUUCUCUGGAGCAGCAGAAAACAACCUUUCUCCCUCCUCUAUGUGACAUCCUUUUAUAUAUUUGAACAUGGCUAUCAUAUCACCUCUUAACCUCCUCUUCUCCAGGCUAAACAUGCCCAGCUCCCUUAGCCGUUCCUCAUAAGGCAUCGUUUCCAGGCCUUUGACCAUUUUGGUUGCCCUCCUCUGGACACGUUCCAGUUUGUCAGUGUCCUUCUUGAACUGUGGUGCCCAGAACUGGACACAGUACUCCAGGUGAGGUCUGACCAGAGCAGAAUACAGUGGCACUAUUACUUCCCUUGAUCUAGAUGCUAUACUCCUAUUGAUGCAGCCCAGAAUUGCAUUGGAUUAUCAGAAAAGCUGAGGGAAGUCCAUAAUGAAUGUAAUUUGUGAGAAAAUAUGUGUUGUGUUUUUUAUAAUUUUGUGUUGUAAAACUAAUAAAAAUAUUUUUUUUAAAAAAGAGAGGACACACCCUGAGCGGGUCUGCAAGAAGACGUUCUCUGUCAGUCCCUCAGUUUCAUGCCAUUAUAGGCCUUGAGAAUUGGGCACAUUAAAUGCCUUUGCUUGCCCAGCUGAUCAUUUUAGCCGCGUCAGAUUUUCUUCCUGAGAUUUUGACUUGGCCUUCUUUGACCCUAGCUUGGGAAAUAGUUUUCCCUAGCUCCUUCUCUCUCUCUCUCUCUCUCUCUCUCUCUCUCUCUCAAAUGAUAGGAUGAGCCUUCCGGCUGCGUGGAACAGAACUCAACAGCAGAGGGCGGCUGCUAUCUGUGAAGGGGCG
rnacentral:lncRNA from 1 species